rnacentral:rRNA from 1 species
ACGUAGGGUGCAAGCGUUGUCCGGAAUUAUUGGGCGUAAAGAGCUCGUAGGCGGUCUGUCACGUCGGCUGUGAAAUCCCGAGGCUCAACCUCGGGUCUGCAGUCGAUACGGGCAAACUAGAGUAUUGCAGGGGAGACUGGAAUUCCUGGUGUAGCGGUGAAAUGCGCAGAUAUCAGGAGGAACACCGGUGGCGAAGGCGGCAUCCUGGACCAACACUGACGCUGAGGAGCGAAAGCCAGGGGAGCAAACGGGA